rnacentral:rRNA from 1 species
AGCAGUAGCCGCGGUAAUACGUAGGUGGCAAGCGUUGUCCGGAAUUAUUGGGCGUAAAGGGCUCGCAGGCGGUUUCUUAAGUCUGAUGUGAAAGCCCCCGGCUCAACCGGGGAGGGUCAUUGGAAACUGGGAAACUUGAGUGCAGAAGAGGAGAGUGGAAUUCCACGUGUAGCGGUGAAAUGCGUAGAGAUGUGGAGGAACACCAGUGGCGAAGGCGACUCUCUGGUCUGUAACUGACGCUGAGGAGCGAAAGCGUGGGGAGCGAAUAGGAUUAGAUACCCCCGUAGUCCCUGUCUCUUAUAC